GGCACAGUAAUCGAUGGUCAUUCAAUUAACAACAAGCAAAACGUAGUUGAACAAAUAGAUUAUAAAAAUGGCUAAUUAUAAAUAGGCAUGGUCAAUAAUUCACCCAAUAAUUGAUUCCGUCAAAACCCUAGAAGAAAGGUUUAGCUACUCAUGCCAUUACUCGAAAACACAUAAACCAUUGUCAGACCAAAAUCCAUACAAAUAAAGAUAGAAAAGUAGAGAAAAACUCUUCGAUUCAUCUUGUGGAAUGAACUUGAGGAUCUUCCGGGCUCGAUUUUACUUCAACAAUGGUGUUCCUUGCCUUCUCAGACCAAGAAUGCAGCUGGAAUAAGGGUUAGAAGCUUUUAUAUCACGUCCCUAAGCCAAAUGUCUAAGUUGGCCCCCAAGAUAAAACGCAGACAAAUUUGCCCUUGUGCUAUAGCUAUGCUUCGCACAGGGUCCGAUUUUCCUUUUCUUCAGAAAUUGUCUUUUAGCUUCAUUAACGCUCAAAUCACCUCUAAUCUUCACUCUUGGCUUCCUACAUAACAAACUUCAACAAUUAAGCUCAAUCGGUCAUCUUUCAACCUUCAAAACACCUAAACACACACCAAAGUAGGGGUAAAAUAUAUUCGAUUACAUGUAAAUCUCGCAUAUUAUCAGAAAGCUCAACAUAUUGAGGUUUGAUUAACUUCAGAUUAGAUUGCAAAGUGCCAUAUUGGAAGUAAAGCUGGGGCGAAGUUACAUUGUGCAACAGACCACCUUUCAUCGAAAAAUUAUAUAUAUAAAUAAAAUAUUAGAUUUUAGAGGUAUAUAACAUAUAUUGAACAUCCUUUGUCGAGAUUCUUUUUUCUUCUUUCAAGUUUGGAACACCAUUGGAGAAAUUUAUUGUUUCACCAAUAAAGUAAAUAUUUCCUAAUAAAGACGAUUUCAUACUCAAAGUUUAAACAUGAAACGUAUGAAUUAAGGAUGAAAAUAUACUUAUCCUCUAUCACGAAAAUAUAUUAAUUUCGCUGUGUAUGUUAGGUUUGGUGGCACAAAAGUAGUAUCUCUUCGGCUGGUAGAUAUUUAAUACUACUACAUAAAGUAAGACCCCACCAUGUGUUUCCUAUUUUAUUACUAUUUGAAACCUUUUUUCCAUUUGUCAUCAUUCUAAACUGAUCUCCGUUGCUCUCUAAGCUUAAGAGCGAGUGACAGAGGAAAAACAAAGAGAUAAAGAGCUAUGGCUUAUGCUGCUGUGACCUCUCUUAUGUCACCUCUUGGACUGCUAACGCUACCCAAAUCCUGUUUAAAUCUUCCCCAAGAAGAGGGAAAGAGGGAACUGAAUCUCUUCAAGAAAAAGUAAAAGAACAGAUUCAAUCCCUUCGCAAAAAAGUCGGUUCACUGCAAGCGCUUCUCGAAAGUUUGGAGAAGAACAUCAAUGAUCAUGAGGUUGUAAAGCGCUGUGAAGGAAACAUCAAAGUUGCAGCACAUGAUGCAGAAUAUAGAAUAGAAUCAGUGUGGGAAAAAAUUUUAAAGGCUAAAAAUGAAAAGAUUCAGAGAGAAGCUUAUGAGAAGUUUUGCACGAGGUUGCAAGAAGCAUCUGAGUCCAUAGAUUCCAAGUGCAGAAAGCUAACCGAAAAUAUGAAGAGUAAUUUGCAGGUAACGAAUUCACUAGUCCAAAGUUUUGAUUUACCAGAACAUUCUCCACAGCUUGGCAAUUGCAUGGUUGGACAUGAAAAUGAACUCGAGGAUAUAAAGUGUAAACUCAUGAAAAUCUCAUCUGAUGAAAGAGAAACUAUGGCAAUCACAGGUAUGGGGGGCAUAGGCAAGACAACCUUUGCUAGAAAAAUUUAUGAUGAUCCAGAAAUUAAAUCACAUUUUGACAUCCUAGCAUGGGCGACUGCGUCAAAGGAAUAUUGUGUUAGAAAGAUGUUGCUGCAGCUUCUUCAUUGUAUUCCAUCAACGGAGGAAGUACGCCGUGAAGCAAGGGAUGAUGGUGAGCUAUCAGGCAAAUUGAAACAGAGGCUGUGGAAACGCAGGUACCUAGUUGUCAUCGACGAUAUAUGGAGCAGCAAAGCUUGGGAUGAAAUAAGUCUAUGGUUUCCAGAUUGCAAAGGAAGUCAUAUCCUACUUACCACAAGGUGCGGGAAUGUGGCCAGUUAUGCUGCUCCAGGUAAGCCUCCUCAUCACAUGUCUUCUCUAAGUCCGGAGAAAAGUUGGGAACUAUUGCAAUCGAAGCUUCUUGAGUAAGUAGAGCUCUCUCCAGAAUUAGUAAAAAUUGGUAAGAAAAUUGCAGAAAAUUGUCAUGGAAUGCCCUUGACCAUUACUAUAGUUGCUGGGCUUCUAUCUAAAUGCAACAAUGGAGUAGAUGGAUGGGAGCGAGUUGCAGAUGAUAUAAAAUCAGCAAUAUUUAAAGAUCUUGGUAGAUAAUGUGAAAAGAUCCUCGUGUUAAGUUACUACUAUCUACCUCAACACCUAAAAGCCUGUUUUCUAUAUUUUGGAAUUUUUCCCGAAGAUGAAGAGGUUGAUGUGAGAAGAUUAGUGGAGCUAUGGGUUGCAGAAGGACUUUUAAAGCAAGCUGAUAAUAAAAGUUUGGAGAACGUAGGUGAAAAAUGUUUGCAAGAACUUAUAGACAGAAUCUGGUUCUUGUAAGCGAGCAGAGUUUUUGGGGAGAAGUGGAAACAUGUAAGAUCCAUGACCUCUUAUAUGAGUUAUGCUUAAGACAAGCUCGAAGUGAGAACCUCCUACCUGUUAUAAAUAGUAAACCACGGAAUAGCGUCACGCGUGUCUCCCUAUCAUCCAAACGGGACUGUCUAAUGAUUGUUCGCCCAAUUAACAUUUUUUAUUGGUUAAACUCUCAUCGCUGUGAUCAAAAGAAAAUACGCACUAUUGUCUAUCAAGGUGCACGCAGACAUGCAGGAAGAGAAAGUUUAGGAUUCAAGAAUUUCAAAAUGAUCAGAGUAUUUGACUUGAGAAAGUUAUACUUUCACCGUGAAAUUCCAACUUUAGUAUUUGAUUUGGUGCAUCUAAGGUAUCUAUCCUUGUACGUUGGAAAUCAUGAAUAUCUCCCUCUUUUCAACCUUCAAAACUUGCAAAUUCUGAUCAUUGAAAUAGGAAAGAAUUGGGCAGAUAGUAUACCUUUAAACAUUUGGAGGAUGCCACAGUUAAGGACUCUACGCUUUAUGAAGUCAGGAUGGUUAUGUCCUCCGAUUAUGCCUAGUGGUGAAGAGGAGCAUGCGGUUUUAGAACACCUGCAUACUAUAACCGGUGUUGGUCCUGCAUGGUGUGAAAAGGAAAUUUUUGCAUUAAUGCCUAACUUGAAGAACUUGGAAAUCGUGUUGAACAGAGUUGCUCAUGAAUUGUGGAUACCUGUUUCCUCUUUGCCACUAAUAGAAACACUUAGAAUUAUAGUUGGAAAAAUGGAUGACAAUAUCUUUGCCCAGUACCAGUUGAAUGCACGUAAAAAGUUUUUGAAAUAUCGAAGUACCUUUCCACCAACCCUUAGAAGGCUGACAUUAGGCGGGACGUGUCUUCCUUGGGAGGCUAUGGACAUUGUUGGCAUGUUGCCUAACCUCGUGACACUCG
rnacentral:lncRNA from 1 species